AACGAACGCUGGCGGCAGGCCUAACACAUGCAAGUCGAACGAAGCCUUCGGGCUUAGUGGCGGACGGGUGAGUAACACGUGGGAACGUACCUUUUGGUUCGGAAUAACGCAGAGAAAUUUGCGCUAAUACCGAAUGAGCCCUUCGGGGGAAAGAUUUAUCGCCGAAAGAUCGGCCCGCGUUGGAUUAGGUAGUUGGUGUGGUAAAGGCGCACCAAGCCUACGAUCCAUAGCUGGUCUGAGAGGAUGAUCAGCCACACUGGGACUGAGACACGGCCCAGACUCCUACGGGAGGCAGCAGUGGGGAAUCUUGCGCAAUGGGCGAAAGCCUGACGCAGCCAUGCCGCGUGAAUGAUGAAGGUCUUAGGAUUGUAAAAUUCUUUUACCAGGGACGAUAAUGACGGUACCUGGAGAAAAAGCCCCGGCUAACUUCGUGCCAGCCGCCGCCGUAAAAC
rnacentral:rRNA from 1 species